rnacentral:rRNA from 1 species
CAUGCAAGUCAGGGGCAGCACAAGAGCAAUCUGAGGUGGCGACCGGCGCACGGGUGAGUAACACGUAUGCAACCUGCCUGUAAGCGGGGAAUAACCCGUUGAAAGACGGACUAAUACCGCAUAAUACUAAAUUACUGCAUGGUAAUUUAUUUAAACAUUUAUGGCUUACAGAUGGGCAUGCGCAUGAUUAGCUAGUUGGAGAGGUAACGGCUCCCCAAGGCAACGAUCAUUAGGGGUUCUGAGAGGAAGGUCCCCCACACUGGUACUGAGACACGGACCAGACUCCUACGGGAGGCAGCAGUGAGGAAUAUUGGUCAAUGGACGAGAGUCUGAACCAGCCAAGUCGCGUGCAGGAAGAAUGUCCCUAUGGAUUGUAAACUGCUUUUGCAGGGGAAUAAAGUGCAUCACGUGUGAUGUUUUGUAUGUACUCUGCGAAUAAGGAUCGGCUAACUCCGUGCCAGCAGCCGC